rnacentral:rRNA from 1 species
AUACGUAGGGGGCGAGCGUUGUCCGGAAUGAUUGGGCGUAAAGGGCGCGUAGGCGGCCCGGUAAGUCUGGAGUGAAAGCCCUGUUUUUAAGAUGGGAAUUGCUUUGGAUACUGUCGGGCUUGAGUGAAGGAGAGGUAAGUGGAAUUCCCAGUGUAGCGGUGAAAUGGGUAGAGAUUGGGAGGAACACCAGUGGCGAAGGCGACUUACUGGACUGUAACUGACGCUGAGGCGCGAAAGUGUGGGGAGCAAACAGGAUUAGAUACCCUGGUAGUCCACACUGUAAACGAUGAAUGCUAGGUGUAGGGGGUAUCGACCCCUUCUGUGCCGCAGUCAACACAAUAAGCAUUCCGCCUGGGGAGUACGGCCGCAAGGUUGAAACUCAAAUGAAUUGACGGGG